UGCAGUCGAGCGGACAGAUGGGAGCUUGCUCCCUGAUGUUAGCGGCGGACGGGUGAGUAACACGUGGGUAACCUGCCUGUAAGACUGGGAUAACUCCGGGAAACCGGGGCUAAUACCGGAUGCUUGUUUGAACCGCAUGGUUCAAACAUAAAAGGUGGCUUCGGCUACCACUUACAGAUGGACCCGCGGCGCAUUAGCUAGUUGGUGAGGUAAUGGCUCACCAAGGCAACGAUGCGUAGCCGACCUGAGAGGGUGAUCGGCCACACUGGGACUGAGACACGGCCCAGACUCCUACGGGAGGCAGCAGUAGGGAAUCUUCCGCAAUGGACGAAAGUCUGACGGAGCAACGCCGCGUGAGUGAUGAAGGUUUUCGGAUCGUAAAGCUCUGUUGUUAGGGAAGAACAAGUACCGUUCGAAUAGGGCGGUACCUUGACGGUACCUAACCAGAAAGCCACGGCUAACUACGUGCCAGCAGCCGCGGUAAUACGUAGGUGGCAAGCGUUGUCCGGAAUUAUUGGGCGUAAAGGGCUCGCAGGCGGUUUCUUAAGUCUGAUGUGAAAGCCCCCGGCUCAACCGGGGAGGGUCAUUGGAAACUGGGGAACUUGAGUGCAGAAGAGGAGAGUGGAAUUCCACGUGUAGCGGUGAAAUGCGUAGAGAUGUGGAGGAACACCAGUGGCGAAGGCGACUCUCUGGUCUGUAACUGACGCUGAGGA
rnacentral:rRNA from 1 species